CCUACGGGUGGCAGCAGUGGGGGAUAUUGGACAAUGGGGGGAACCCUGAUCCAGCGACGCCGCCUGAGUGAAGAAGUAUCUCGGUAUGUAAAGCUCUAUCAGCAGGGAAGAAAAUGACGGUACCUGACUAAGAAGCCCCGGCUAACUACGUGCCAGCAGCCGCGGUAAUACGUAGGGGGCAAGCGUUAUCCGGAUUUACUGGGUGGAAAGGGAGCGUAGACGGCAGCGCAAGUCUGAAGUGAAAUCCCAUGGCUUAACCAUGGAACUGCUUUGGAAACUGUGCAGCUGGAGUGCAGGAGAGGUAAGCGGAAUUCCUGGUGUAGCGGUGAAAUGCGUAGAUAUUAGGAGGAACACCAGUGGCGAAGGCGGCUUACUGGACUGUAACUGACGUUGAGGCUCGAAAGCGUGGGGAGCAAACAGGAUUAGAUACCCUUGUAGUC
rnacentral:rRNA from 1 species